rnacentral:rRNA from 1 species
AUAGUGCACCAGUACCGUGAGGGAAAGGUGAAAAGCACCCCGGGAGGGGAGUGAAAGAGAACCUGAAACCGUGUGCCUACAAGUAGUCAGAGCCCGUUGAUGGGUGAUGGCGUGCCUUUUGUAGAAUGAACCGGCGAGUUACGAUCUCGUGCGAGGUUAAGUCGAAAAGACGGAGCCGUAGCGAAAGCGAGUCUGAAUAGGGCGUAUAGUACGAGGUCGUAGACCCGAAACCAGGUGAUCUACCCAUGUCCAGGGUGAAGGUAGGGUAAUACCUACUGGAGGCCCGAACCCACGCACGUUGAAAAGUGCGGGGAUGAGGUGUGGGUAGGGGUGAAAUGCCAAUCGAACUUGGAGAUAGCUGGUUCUCCCCGAAAUAGCUUUAGGGCUAGCCUCGGGUUUGAGAGUCUUGGAGGUAGAGCACUGAUUGGACUAGGGGCCCCAAACGGGUUACCGAACCCAGUCAAACUCCGAAUGCCAAUGACUUAUGCCCGGGAGUCAGACUGCGAGUGAUAAGAUCCGUGGUCGAGAGGGGAACAG